rnacentral:rRNA from 2 species
ACUUUGUGCCGAUAAUUCAACGGGACUAAAACACAAUACCGAAGCUACGGGCAGAAAUGCGUUAGGAGAGCGUUGUAAGGGCUUAGAAGCCAGACCGUGAGGACUGGUGGAGCGCUUACAAGUGAGAAUGCCGGUAUGAGUAACGAUUCAGAGUGAGAAUCUCUGACGCCUAUUGGGGAAGGUUUCCUGGGCAAGGUUCGUCCACCCAGGGUUAGUCGGGUCCUAAGACGAGGCCGAAAGGCGUAGCCGAUGGACAACAGGUUAAUAUUCCUGUACUUUCUUAACAUGUGAUGGAGUGACGGGGAAGGAUAAUUUUACCACUAAUUGGAUUGUGGGGUAAGUAACAACUGGGUUAUGUAGGCAAAUCCGCAUAACUUAACUGGGAGUUACGACGCAUAGCAAAAGGGCAACUGAGUAGCGAAUUAGAUGAUUUCAUGCCUCUUAAAAAAGCUUCUAACAUUAAGUUUAGGAAACCC